CCAUCGGUGGUUCAGUGGUAGAAUGCUCGCCUGCCACGCCUGGGUUCGAUUCCCGGCCGAUGCU